rnacentral:rRNA from 1 species
UACGUAGGGUGCGAGCGUUAAUCGGAAUUACUGGGCGUAAAGCGUGCGCAGGCGGUUCGUUGUGUCGGCGGUGAAAGCCCCGGGCUUAACCUGGGAAUGGCCGUCGAAACUGGCGAACUGGAGUGUGGCAGAGGGGGGUGGAAUUCCAGGUGUAGCGGUGAAAUGCGUAGAUAUCUGGAGGAACACCGGUGGCGAAGGCGGCAUCCUGGACCAACACUGACACUGAGGAGCGAAAGCCAGGGGAGCGAACGGG